UACGUAGGGUGCGAGCGUUGUCCGGAAUUACUGGGCGUAAAGAGCUCGUAGGUGGUUUGUCGCGUUGUUCGUGAAAACUCACAGCUUAACUGUGGGCGUGCGGGCGAUACGGGCAGACUGGAGUACUGCAGGGGAGACUGGAAUUCCUGGUGUAGCGGUGGAAUGCGCAGAUAUCAGGAGGAACACCGGUGGCGAAGGCGGGUCUCUGGGCAGUAACUGACGCUGAGACGCGAAAGCGUGGGGAGCAAACAGG
rnacentral:rRNA from 1 species